rnacentral:ncRNA from 1 species
CAUUGGUGAGAAUCCAAUGCCCCGAAAACCUAAGGGUUCCUCCGCAAGGUUCAUCCACGGAGGGUGAGUCAGGGCCUAAGAUCAGGCCGAAAGGCGUAGUCGAUGGACAACAGGUGAAUAUUCCUAAGUUAGAAAGGAAAUGUCAAGAUAUUAAUUACUUGUCCAUGAUAAAUUUGUUAGGAAAAAUGAAAAUCUAAAAUAG